rnacentral:lncRNA from 1 species
UCCCGAGCCUGCCUGCCCCCGCUCGCCCCUCCUCUUCCUCCUCCUCCUCUUCUUCCCACCCAGGCACCAGAAAAUCCUGGGCGUGAUGGGUACUUUGCAGGACCCUGGAACCGGAAUGGAACCGGAGCAGGUGGCUGGGAAUAGAGGGGGUGCGCCAGUGACCCGGAAAAGCCACCCACCCGACACCGACUGGAUCUGGGAGAAGGGUGGAGACCCCCUGCCUCCGGCUAGGGGGAGGAGGUUAAGCCAAGUCCGACAGCUGCAAGAAGUGGGAGGCGACGAUGCCCUCCAGAGCAGUUCAAUUUCGUCUCUCGGUUUUCCUCUCGCUAGUGGGUCUAAGCGGAGGGUGCCUCGAAGCAAGUCACGCUCCAGAAUGUCCCAUCCCACCCCAUUUGACUGA